rnacentral:lncRNA from 1 species
AGCCGAUCAACCAUUCAAAUCAUUGUUGUGAUGAAGCACAAUGUUAUUUACUAGUUUGUAAGUUAAAUUAAAGUAUGCUACAAAUACUUUGUGAAUCAAAUUUGUAUUAGUUGCCUAGUUUACUAGUAUAUAUGAAGUUAUUUAGAAUCAAUUAUUGCAAUAGGCUCUGAAAUGUGGUGGAAAACAGGUGACUUGAAAUAUGGUGGGCAAUUUCAAAAAUUAAAAUCUGAUUUUCAGGGGUGGU